AUAUUUUCCUGACAUACAGGGUUUUUUAGUUGUGUGAAAAUGUAGCACGUUUAAAAAAAUACCGCGAUAAUACCGAAAACCGUGAUAAUUUUGGUCUCAAUAACCGUGAGGUUAAAUUUUCACACCGUGACAACCCUAGUAGUUCAGCAGCAAAAUUCAUGUCUCAAAUAUCAAUAGUUGUUUAAGUUCUCUAAACACAACUAAAACUACAAUCAAAACAGUUUCGAUGGAAAACAAAGUCAUUUUAAAUAUUAAUAAAUUAAGAUACAAUAAUAAUUUAACUUUAUUUUAGAAGAGCAUCUAGAAAAAACUUCCAGCCCUUGAACAAAUUUGGUUGACGAUCCCUGGUCUAGAGGACUAUUUUGCAUUAUAAUAAAUAUUGUGGCUAAUAAUUACAACGAAGUGAACAGAACAAGCUAAACGGUCCGCUACAGAGCUCCAGCAGACAGAGUGCUGUUCAGAAAGCUCUGGCUGGCGUGUUGCCUUAUAUUACACCGAGCUCCUCUGACAGAAAAAUAAACACAACAGGGUUCAUCGCCCGGGCAACCGCUGUCAAGGAUACACCACGAUUCCCGCCAGCAGCCAGAAGUCGUGUCGGCGAUGCCAGAUCUCGUUCAUCUUCCCUGAGGAGAUGGCGGCCCGCUCCUCGUUCUGCCAGAGAGUGUGCAGCUCUGUGGGACGGAGGUAGAAACUGCUUAGCUGGCUGAAACCUGGCUGCAGGUGUUAACCACAGCUUUUCUGGGGUUGGGGAUAAAUUUGUCCCACUGCUGUGGUUUUGCACAGAAGUUCUUAAAUCCUCCUGCUUCGUUCUGACCUUCUUCUUGACCAGCGACAUGACACCAAUACGAGUCAGGACCAGCUGGCGACACAAGCCCUCCCUCGGGACGCCAUCGGCAAACGUCUCGGCCCCGUCGGCGACCGGUUCACAAAGGUCUCGGACCAGCCACUGAGAGGAGAAGGCGUCCUGAGAUGGCAUGCCCCAUCGCAUCACCGCAUUCAGGAAAGCCUUGCGCUGCCGCGUGUUGAAGCCCAGCAC